UACGGAGGGUGCAAGCGUUCUCCGGAUUUACUGGGUUUAAAGGGUGCGUAGGUUGGUUGGUAAGUCAGUGGUGAAAUACUUUCGCUUAACGAAGGAACUGCCAUUGAUACUACCAGUCUUGAAUACAGUGGAGGUAGGCGGAAUGCGUCAUGUAGCGGUGAAAUGCUUAGAUAUGACGCAGAACACCAAUUGCGAAGGCAGCUUGCUACACUGUUAUUGACACUGAGGCACGAAAGCGUGGGGAUCAAACAGG
rnacentral:rRNA from 1 species